AUCUAAUCCCGACGUGCCCUUGGUCCCCGGCGCUCGGCGAAGCGUCUAUCGGAGCUCAGCCCGCCGCUGCGCGUCCGCCCUCCGCCCGGGUCGCGCCGGCGCGCGGGAACCCAGCCCCGGGGGCCGCGGGACUCCUCCGCGCGCAACUCGGCAAAGUUUCACCGCCCCCUCCCGCCUUCCCGCGCGCCUCACCUUCCCUGCCUGCGGAAGCUGGCGACCUCCCGGCCCUCCCUUCCUUCUCGUUUCAGGUCCGGGGAGCUGCUUCGAGUACUGAACUCGAGCGCUAGUCUGCAGAGACGACCCGCAACUAAUUCGGGAUCAUUGAUUUGGUCGGAAAUGAGGGGCGCGCCCUGCCCGUCGGUGUGGCCCGCGGAGGAAGGGGAGGCUGGUCCAUACCAAGGGAGCCCAGUGCGGCGUUCUCCUUGCUGCAGAUCAUUCUGGAAGGCCAAUAAAACUGUCUACGCCUGAAAACAGAAAUGAGUACUCAGACUGGCUCCACCCUGUCUCACAUGGCUAUCAAGCGCUGGAACUGUGGUUGGUCCAAACUGACAUGUGCUAAAUCACAGACAUUCUAGAGUUGCAUCUGGUUUUGCUCCCUGCACCCAGAUAAUUUGAGGCUGGUACCUUAUAGUGAUGGAUGGCUUUGGACAUUGACAAUGAAAAUGACAUAAUUUGCUGCUAAAUUCAAGAACACAUCAAGGCCACCCAAUGGAAAGCUGCUUUACAAAUAAAACAAAAAAAUCUUGGUAAUAGGAUGCUUUGAAAGAAAAUGA